rnacentral:sRNA from 2 species
CCAGACUGAGCAGUUCUUAUCUAGAUUCAUUUAUCCUACAUAAAAUCAUCAACAUAUCUUAGCAGAUACUAGAUACUUUGCUGUUAAAUCUCUACUUAACCCACUACUAGUACUAUUUAAAGCAACCCGGGUGAGUGGGCAUUUUCUAGAUUUUCAACUAUUCAACUAUUCUGUCUAUGUAUUUCAAGAACCGCGAUUUGCUUUUUGGCUGUAGCUUGACGUUGUCCAGUCUGCCACCAUGCCACCUCCAUAAGCGCCCUUCGUUGAUAUGCUGAAGGCUAGCAAAGUUCUUACCCUCUUACCCGAGUAGAAACGCACUGCUACCAGCAAUCAUCCAUCUAUCUAUCAGCUAGUCUGCAAUCUACGACAUUGGAAUGUCCUUUCAACUUUGUCUCGAUCUUAUUUGCCUCGUCUAGUCUUAGUUUGUUCACCAUUGCUAAUAGGAUAAUACCGUUAUUUGCUUUGUCCGGCUAUCAUCUGGAAUCCGCGUUUACCUUUUUACUUGCCAAUUGCUCUCGUAUCACCGUCGCUAUAAGGGAACAAAACUUUCGGCGAGAAACUUCAGCAAGAGGAGCAACCGAAUGGCGCCCAUUUGGAGAUCAAACACGGUUACCCAUACGCAGUGCACAGAUUGAAGCUGAAGAAACGUUCCAGAUCUCAAAAGGAAAGAAGAGAAAAACAUUGUGAAUUGCAAUUACCUGGCUAUCCAAAGAGAUAAAAAGCUCGCCUAGCACUGAACGUUUCAUUUUAUGGCUAGCUUAAAUUCACUCAAUCUGCUUUCCACAACCAAGAGAUGGAAAGAAUAACAUUGCAAGUCUCUGUAAUACCAUUCCAACAGAAAAUAAUUGAGAGAAACAAAGGAUAUUCAAAGAGAGACAUGAGGACAAGCACUAAGUGUUCCCCCUAGUUCACAUCCACAGCAUAAACACUAAGCCGGUUCCUAAUGGGCCUAUAUUUCAGAGCAACUAUAAAAUUACAACAAUCAGAGAUGGCAAACCCUUUUGAUAUUUUCAAGCCUUACCCAGUUUGAACGAAAUCCAUAGCUCCUUCUUUGCCAAGGACUAAAACAGCGGGAUUGUCAAUGUGACGCCGGCCUCCAAUCUUCCAGCCACAGGGGCAAGUCCCAUUUCCAGUACCUGUACGGAAGAAAGAAAACCACAUAAACAGCAAAAAAAAUACCUACUAAUAGGUACACCUUCUGCCGUGUCCAUGCACAUCAUCGCACCUGCCAUUGAAUGGCUUCACGCCCCCAUACCUCCCGAGCGAUCUAGCCUGAUUCUCGUCCUUGGGCGGUGGGUCCUUGGGCGGCAAUCCUUUCGUGCUGCGCGCAUACGUCGCAAGCACAUACGCCGCGCCUUUGGUAUUCAGCAACCACGCGUCCUUGUUGAUGUUCGUCACAUUAUCGCCCUUGCCAUGGUAGUUGGCGUCAUAGGCAAUGCCCGCCGUGCCACCGAACAUCUUCGCCUGUUCCUCGGUCUUGAUGCCCUCCGCACCCGUGAAGAUGCCGCCGCUGGGGAUACCGACAGAAAUGAACGCGUCGUAGUCAGAUCGUCCGUCGAACUCGGUGGGGAUGUGUGGCUGCUUACGAUCCUCGUAGUAUUUCUGGAAGAGUUUCUCGAUCUCCGCGCUGCCAGCGGGGCCGGUGACGUUGAAGGUGGACCCGUCGCCGUCGUAGAUCAUGUUGGCGUAGUUGGGCGAGGCGGUCAUGUCGAAGUUCAGGUAUAGGCGGAUUUUGUCGCGUUCCUGUGGGGUCAGGUUGUCGACAUAGAAUUGUGAGCCGAGGAGGCCGUAUUCCUCUGCUGUCCAGAAGAGGAAGCGGACGGCGUUGGGGACUUUGAAUCUUGCGAGGGCCUUCGCGAUGAUGAGGUUGCCAAUUAUACCGGAGCCGUCAUCGUUGAUGCCGGGUCCUGAGAGGUGGGGGAGGGGUUAUUUAGAGAUUGUUCCUGGUUGUGGGAGGCAACAUGCAUGUACUUACCAGCUUCAACGGAAUCCGUGUGGCCUCCAAUCGCGAUGAUGUUAUUUUUAUCUCCGUCCUUUGAGGUCGCAAUAACGUUGAAUCUACACCGUCGUAUUUCCGGUUAUUCAACAGCUCAUAACCUACCGACUCAUUGUCCUGGAGGACUACUUACGUCGUGCGGUUCUGAAACUCUGAGUGAGCCAACAAUUCACCUGUCAGCGUCUCGGAUCCCGCGCGGGCAGCGAGACCGUCUCCAAUUUCCUUGGAGACCCCGACGGUGGGAGGGUAAGGCCCAUUGGGGUCAGAGGGAGAACCGAGAGUUCCUGAAAGUGGGCCGGGGAUAUUGUUAUAGAUGAGGGCACCGACGGCUUUAGCCGAGCCAGCAAGCGCGGAUUUGAGGCCGAAUGUGCAAUCGCCACGGAGGAUCAGAGCGAUUUUGCCAUUCACUUCUGGUGGGAAAUCCUCCUGUAGGAUUGGGUCAUGUUUAGCGAUGAUAAUAUGCCGCCCCUUUUCGUUCCUUCUUCCUCUGCGUCCCCUUAUAUAUAUUAUUUCCCUUGUCUCCCUUUGGGUUAAACUGGGAUGUGACCUACAGCAACGCAUCCUAGGUUGUUCACCAGGACGAUGUCCGCCUUCGAUUGACCUGACGGACUAUAUGUCAUAGGAGUAACUUCUGUGUCUUUGCCAUUGACUUUAAAUGUAGCGUUGGACAUUGACCACAGGUGGAUUUGCUUCUGUUUGACGACGUCGUAAUAAUGGGUCCGCUGAAGCUCUCUGACGAGAUAAUCAACAGUAUCAUUAUGGGCCUUGGUGCCAAAGACGCGGUUUCGUUCAGGAGUGGCGUAAGCGAUGCCUUCGAGUUUCUUUGCUCCUGCCAUCAGAUCCUUUAUGCCAAUAUGCCAUAUCAAUUUUUCCUAUGCCCGGGGGAUAAAAAUGAGGGCAGUUAGCAUAUUUUAUUAUCAAUUAUUCUGCUGCAGCAACAUUUCGUUAGAAGACAGUGCUAUAUACGUACAGGGGUAAGCUGGCGAAAUUUAUUGUACCAGUCGCCCGGGAAAGGGAUUUUAGGAAAAUCUGGAAAACCCGGGAAACCUUGCGCUUCGACAUCUGGAGUCUCAGCAGCAACCAGAUGUGUUGCAAGGACAGCACCGAGUGCAAGCAAUUGGGCCUUCAUUUUGUAGGCCGCGGGCCAGGAGUCUUAACUGCUCAGUCGGCUGCAGAGUAUCUCGAUUCAGGGGGGAACAACUACGGGCACAGGGCAUGCGAUGGAUAUGAAAUGUCUCCAAAACAUUGGCCCAUAUCCGUGCGACCUGAAGGAGCGGAGGUUGGUAGUAGGAGAAUGCGGCAUCCUGAGCACUUUAUAGUUGGCGCAUUUUCGUGACAACGAGCAUGCGAUGCGAGGGCAGCCGCGGUUGUUCUUUGAAUCGUUCCUAAUUUUGGGAAAGACGCCAGACUUCCAGCCCGCUCUACCAUCCGCUGAUCGCCGUCCAUGCAGUAAUCAUGAGGGACUGACUGGAUGCGGUCCGCAUACCACCUACGUAAUUUGGUAUAGUACUCUUCGUGCAUGGGCAUUUCAAGCUCCAGCUCCCUUGGCGGAAGUCAAUUGAAAUACGAUUUGCUCGCCGAAAGUGUUAUCUCCAAAGCUGGGUUUUCGGGGCUAGGCUUGUUUUUGCACAAUUAGUGGGGAUCCGAGGUGAAGCACUGGAGCAUGAAAUUCUCUCUCCGCAUUGCGACAGGAUUAUCCUUGUGAAUUAAUGUCGGUGCCAAGUUGGUACGGCGUCGGAAUCCUGGGGACAGGGGAAACGGCGUCUACGCAGUAACGCGGUGAUGCCGAGGACUACGCUAAUGAUGUCAAGCUGGUCCGACAUCCAGCGGCCCAAAUAGCAACUUCAGAAUCAGUACGAGUCUGCGGCACAAGAAGCAAUGACUGAAGCAAGUCUACAAAAUCCCGGUGUGCGCGCCAUAGGGUAUGAGCAACUCUUGGGUGCACGAAAGCCGCUCUCGCCCAGCAUAUGUUGGAACAAGCUUCAGAACGAGUUCGGUUUUUGCCUUGAUCCGGCCAAGGCGCAACGUUCCAUCGCGAACCCUCCAGAGCCCAGCAACGAGCGCAUGGCUUGUCUUCAGAAGUAAGCUGAUCGACAGCGCCUUGUGGGGUCUCAAAUUCACAAGAUAUUUGGCGAAUCAUGGCAAGCAGGAGUUGGGAACGGAGACAAGCCACAGCGAAAAAGCAAGUCUGCUCGGCUUCCUGCGCUCUCGAGCUCAGGGCAGCUUGUAGAUCGUUAUAAUCUUUUCGUGUUGAUUUCACACAGCGUCGCUUGACUUCUUCAUGUCCUGUGUACUCUGCAUCUGGAGCCGUGUCGGUAGAGAAUAGAAGAAGAGUUGACCUUCUGGAAGGAUGCCUUCCCAUCGAAUCCUGUGUACAAGUUCAAUAAUAUGAUGGAACUGGGAAAUCUGUCCCUGGCCAGGGAGAUGUCCCUCAAGGGGCGUUUUGUGAAACAAUCCCCAUGUCAUUUAAUCCCUAUCCCAAUCUAUUCAAUCCUCCCAUAAUUUGUACUACACAAAUAUUGAUACUGCCGUGUUAAACCGCGACAGCUUGGCGUGGAGUUACUGCGUAUUCAAUCCUUCCGACUCGUCGCCAGCCCAGCUGGUGUAACUCAAGAGGCAGACAGGAGGAUGGCAUCACCACCCCUCCUCCUUGUAGUAAGGAUGAUUGUGAUGAGCAAGCAGCAGUCACCGCAGUCCAUGAGAGUUUUGUCGUCACAUUCUCAAUUCAGCCCAAGAAGAGGGCGUGGUGCGCUGUUCAGAGCCAGAAACCCCCAGGAAAGACAGGAGAAUGGCAGGAAUCGUGAAGAUAUCGAAAACAAAAUCAAAAAGUACUUUGUUGCUGCGCGGCAGAUUUCCUCGGUAUUGUUGACGAAGUUCCUUCAACGACUUCUCUGUGCCUGUGGUUUACACAGCAGCUAAUCGGCAUAUACAUUGCAAGGAAAUGGCUGAAACCUUCGGCGGUCCUAUGUGAUAAUAACAAUAAUAAUACAGUACGACAUAUUACCCACUGCACCAUGUUCAAUGGAGAACGCGAAGAGUAUCACCAAGGAACAAUACAUUCAUUCAACAGCCUCGGCAACGUGGACAUGCUGCGUACAUACUAGUACCACCAGCAUUCAUUCCAUGUCAGUAGAGAAGUUCCCAUCAUUUGCUUCCACGAGAUACUCGGUGCUGCAUCUCUCCACCCUUGGCAGCGGCAGGCUCAACAGGUCGCGGACAUGAAGAAGGGAGGCAGAACAACGCGGUUAACUGUGGGUUCUAACCUAGAUGUCAUUCGAAGGAUUUCAUCCCUCCCCCAGGAGCGGACAGAGUGCGGGGAUAGAAAUCUGACUACUAUGUACGUCAACAACAAGGGAUAUAUAUCACCUUUGUAUUUUCUCCAUUGCAGAACAUUGUUCCGGCUUGAUUGUGUCCUGCAUGAAACAACGGACAUGGGCGUUGAAUGGCACUGCAAGCGAGGCUAUAGAGGCUAAAUUAUUAUAUGGUUUAUGUGAAUUGGCCUGGUUAAACUGCAGACGGAUGUAGCCUUCCAUGUAACAUGACAGAAGGCGUCAAUGGAGACGAAUAUUAAUGAUGGCUAGACUGGAAGGCGGCUGGAACGAUGGCUGAAAUAAUAUCAUAUCACAAACCCCUACCGAACUCCCAUUUUUUGGUUUGGUAAAGAAGACAAAGGCGAUGGUUGAAACAUAAUGAGAAGGAAAAAAAAAUCGAAGAAAUUUCUAACCCCAUGUUAUCCUCCCUAGGUAGAUGAAGAGGAAAGGAAACUGGAGAACACAAAAAGACAAGAAGACUCUCUCUAUUAACAAAAGUAUUAUUUCGCCGUACAUACCAAUUAUCAAUAUUCCGAAAAUUAGGGUUAGGAAAUAUUAAGUAGGAGAAACGGGAAGAGAAUCUGGGGUACUGAGGAGUGACUGAAGUCUAACUUCUCGAGUGAAUGUUAAUUUAUCUAACGGUCCAUCUUCUCUCUUAUUUAUUUUAGUUUUUUUCUUAGUUUUUCCCCCUUGUACCGAAGGGGGGAAAAUGGAGCAGAGAAGAGGGCCAAUUUGGUUCGUUUUGGUAAUUGAUCGAGCUUGAUAGGAAAACUGACGAUUCUAGCCAAACAGUUGAAAGUACGGAGCUAAACGAGCAUGACAGUAGAUGAACAAGCGCAGCGUACGGGCUCACGAGAUAAAAAAAAGUUCUAAUGUCGUGGCGUUGAUCAAGGUUUGCGUGACGGUGGAACGGCGUGUAGAUGAGGAAAUUCGCAAACCUCACGAAGAGCGAAAUAAAAAGGGGGAAAGGAUAGGAUAACAGCGAGGAGGGAGGCAUCGAACGCUUUUGCCUUGGGUUCGAUUCGUUGGAAAUGGCAUGCCAACGGAUGUCGAGAGAAAGAUGGAAAAAUUGGAGAGGAACGAAAACUCGUCCUUAUAUGUCUGGCAAGUGAAUCCAAAGGCUUUCCUCUAUCAGGCCGCUUUCGCUUCCGCGUCCACUUCCACUCUUUCAGAAGGAGAAGUAGUCGCGGCAACAGACCCACUAGACCCACCCUUCCCUUCCUCCUCAAGUUUCGCAAUCACCAUCUCCUCCACGACCUUCAAACCAGCCUCCUCACCCUUCCUCGACGCAGCAGGCCCGUCGUCUUCUCCAGAAACCCGCUGAUCAAGCGCCAGCUUCGUCUGGCCCAGCGCAUAUAUCUGCUCCUCAAUCGUAUCCCUUGUGACAAGUCGUACAACCUCCACCGGGCGCGUCUGGCCCACGCGAUGCGCGCGAUUCUCCGCCUGCACGUCCUCCUGUGGAUUAAAGCUGGAAUCGAAAAUGAUAACCUUAUUCGCGCAGGCGAGGUUGAUGCCGGCGCCGCCAGCUUUGGUUGAAAGGAGAAAGACGGGUAUAUCAACUUGUUCGUGGAAGGCGUCGAGGGUAGACUGGCGGUCCUCGACGCUGGUGCUCCCAUCGAGGCGGAAGAAACGCAUUUGCAGAGUCUGCAGAACAUGCUCGAGGAUAUCCAUGACCAUAGUGAACUGGGAGAAUAUAAGGGUACGGUCACCGUUUUCUUUGAAGCGCCUUAAUAACUCGCAGAGCUUGUCGACUUUGCCGGAGUGCAUCCAUUCGUCGUUUUUGAGGGUAAAUUUUGACAGGGCGGUUGGGUUUUGCUCGCAGAGCGUAUGGACUUCGAAGUCGUUGUAUGCGCAUAGCUCCAAGUAGAUUUGGUCUGGGUCUGAUGCGGCCCAUUUUUCAUCCUUUACACAUGCUCUGGCGAUGCGGCUCAGAGUCUUGUCGUCGUAGUGGCGACGGUAGAAUAAGGGAUGGAUAGCGGCCUGGCGUAGUUUCAUGAGGAUGUUGGCGGACUUAUUGCCCACCUUUUUCCCCGCGGCUCGAUCUGCAAUGAGCUGCCGCACGGUUUCGACUUCGUGGUUAUAUAUAUUCUUUUGUGCCUCAUUCAUUUCACAAUAUUCCACGCUGGUGAGCUUGGGCGGCAGAUCGAUCACCUGAUGCUUUUUCCUCCUGAGCACAAAGGGGGUGAGCAUGGAUUUUGCUCGAGCAAUGCGUUGUGCCGAUAGUAGCGCCGAAUGUGUGUCGUCGACCGUCUUGGCUUUAGCGCUGAAGAUAUACUCGAGGUCUUCCUUUCGCUCCUUGAAGACUGACGGGAGGAUAAAUCCGAGAAGCGAAGCUAACUCCUGGAGAUUGUUUUGCAGUGGAGUGCCAGUAAGUAAUAACCGGAACUGAGCCGGAAUCCGGAUAAGUUUCUCGUAAAGCAUGGAUUUGCUGCUCUUCAACAUAUGGCCUUCGUCGUAUACACAAACACAAAAGUCCAUGGAGCGAAGGAAGGCCGCGUCGAUUUUUGCCUUGGCAAUUGUGUAAGUAGUGACUACAACGUUUAUAGAGUCCCUCGUGUCUUCAAUUUGCUGCCGAAUCCCAGCCCGAACGUUCUGGUUGGCGUAAUAAGGCAUGACAUUCAGUUUUGGGCAGAACACUGAGAAUUCACGAAGCCAGUUCUCCAGGGUCGAAGAGGGAACGACAACAAGAUGCGGACCCUUGACUCCUUUCUCAAAGAGAUGGGCAAGAAAGGCAAUGACCUGACAAGUUUUCCCAAGCCCCAUA